GCUUUAACAUAUCUUUUAUUAUUUGCACUUUCCAGAGUUGAGCAGCUGGCUGAGGGCAUUAUGAAAGACAUAGGAUGCUGUGGCAUUAUGGUCCUGAGUGUCCUUAAAGGAGGUCACAAACUGUGUGCCGACCUCGUAGAACACCUUGAGAACAUCAGCCAGCAUUCAGACAGAUGCGUUUCUACCAAGGUUGAUCUCAUCAGACUGAAGAGUUACAAGGUCCACCGCCGUGCUCCAGUCCACGUCCUCCACAAAUCCUGAUUCAGUGAUCUUUUUAAACUGAAAAGGUAUGUAUGAUAACAAUUUUUGUAAGUUGAAUUUGAUUUUAAUAACCUCCACUUUCACU
rnacentral:lncRNA from 1 species